GAUGAACGCUAGCUACAGGCUUAACACAUGCAAGUCGAGGGGUAGCAGGGUAGCAAUACCGCUGACGACCGGCGCACGGGUGAGUAACACGUAUCCAACCUUCCCAUCACUCGGGGAUAGCCUUUCGAAAGAAAGAUUAAUACCCGAUAGUACUUUUUUGAGGCAUCUUAAGAAAGUUAAAGAUUUAUUGGUGAUGGAUGGGGAUGCGUUCCAUUAGAUUGUUGGUGAGGUAACGGCUCACCAAGUCUUCGAUGGAUAGGGGUUCUGAGAGGAAGGUCCCCCACAUUGGUACUGAGACACGGACCAAACUCCUACGGGAGGCAGCAGUGAGGAAUAUUGGUCAAUGGGCGAGAGCCUGAACCAGCCAAGUAGCGUGAAGGAUGAAGGUCCUAUGGAUUGUAAACUUCUUUUAUAGUAGAAUAAAGUGGUCCACGUGUGGUAUUUUGUAUGUAUACUAUGAAUAAGAUCGGCUAACUCCGUGCCAGCAGCCGACGGUAAAAGUCACGUCG
rnacentral:rRNA from 1 species